UUGAACGCUGGCGGCAUGCCUUACACAUGCAAGUCGAACGGCAGCACGGGGGCGACCCUGGUGGCGAGUGGCGAACGGGUGAGUAACGCAUCGGAACGUACCCGGAAGUGGGGGAUAACGUAGCGAAAGUUACGCUAAUACCGCAUAUUCUGUGAGCAGGAAAGAGGGGGAUCGCAAGACCUCUCGCUUCCGGAGCGGCCGAUGUCGGAUUAGCUAGUUGGCGGGGUAAAGGCCCACCAAGGCGACGAUCCGUAGCGGGUGUGAGAGGAGGAUCCGCCACACUGGAACUGAGACACGGUCCAGACUCCUACGGGAGGCAGCAGUGGGGAAUUUUGGACAAUGGGCGCAAGCCUGAUCCAGCAAUGCCGCGUGCAGGAUGAAGGCCUUCGGGUUGUAAACUGCUUUUGUACGGAACGAAAAGACUCCUUCUAAUAAAGGGGGUUCAUGACGGUACCGUAAGAAUAAGCACCGGCUAACUACGU
rnacentral:rRNA from 1 species